rnacentral:rRNA from 1 species
UACGGAGGGAGCUAGCGUUGUUCGGAAUUACUGGGCGUAAAUCGCGCGUAGGCGGCUUUGUAAGUUAGAGGUGAAAGCCUGGAGCUCAACUCCAGAAUUGCCUUUAAGACUGCAUCGCUUGAAUCCGGGAGAGGUGAGUGGAAUUCCGAGUGUAGAGGUGAAAUUCGUAGAUAUCGUCAAGAACACCUAUAGCGAAGGCAGCUUACUAGGCUGUAACUGACGCUGAGGCACGAAAGUGUGGGGAUCAAACAGG